rnacentral:rRNA from 1 species
UACGUAGGGUGCAAGCGUUAAUCGGAAUUACUGGGCGUAAAGCGUGCGCAGGCGGUGAUGUAAGACAGUUGUGAAAUCCCUCGGCUCAACCGAGGAACUGCGUCUGAUACUGGUUGGCUUGAAUUCGGGAGAGGGAUGCGGAAUUCCAGGUGUAGCGGUGAAAUGCGUAGAUAUCUGGAGGAACACCGGUGGCGAAGGCGGCAUCCUGGACCGAGAUUGACGCUGAUGCGCGAAAGCCAGGGGAGCAAACAGG